rnacentral:lncRNA from 1 species
UACUACCUAAAACAACAAUAUAAUACCCAGUCCCAGUGUGACUAUGAACCCAUAAGUGGAGUCUGGAGAGGGUGAACUUCCCUACCUUUGGAGAGGUAAUGUUGUUUCCGAUAAGAUCCUCAGCUCAAGAAGCAUUUUCAAAACAGGUUUGAAAACUGCUACCUUAAACAGUUUUGGGUAUUUGACAAGUUUCCUUGUGGAAAUCUUCC